rnacentral:rRNA from 1 species
UACGUAGGGGGCAAGCGUUGUCCGGAUUUAUUGGGCGUAAAGAGCGUGUAGGCGGCCAGAUAGGUCAGCUGUGAAAACUCGAGGCUCAACCUCGAGACGUCGGUUGAAACCAUCUGGCUAGAGUCCGGAAGAGGAGAGUGGAAUUCCCGGUGUAGCGGUGAAAUGCGCAGACAUCGGGAAGAACACCCGUGGCGAAGGCGGCUCUCUGGGACGGUACUGACGCUGAGACGCGAAAGCGUGGGGAGCGAACAGG